rnacentral:rRNA from 1 species
GACGAACGCUGGCGGCGUGCUUAACACAUGCAAGUGGAACGGAGUGGCGAACGGGGGAGUAACUCGUGGGGGAUCUGCCCUGCACUUCGGGAUAACCCCGGGAAACUGGGUCUAAUACCGGAUAGUGUGGGAUGGGCCCGCGGCCUAUCAGCUUGAUGGUGGGGUAAUGCCCUACCACGGCGGCGACGGGUCGCCGGCCUGAGAGGGUGGACGGCCACAUGAGUCCUGGGACACGGCCCAGACUGCUACGGGGGGCAGCGGUGGGGAGUCUUGCGCAGUGGGCGGACGCCUGAUGCAGAGACGCCGCGUGGGGGAUGUCGGCCUUCGGGUUGUAAACUCCUUUAUCCAUAGACGCGGUAGCUGGAGAAGAAGCACCGGCUAACUCCGUGCCAGCAGCCGCGGUAAUAC